UACAGAGGUCUCAAGCGUUGUUCGGAUUCAUUGGGCGUAAAGGGUGCGUAGGUGGCGCCGUAAGUCGGGUGUGAAAUUUCGGAGCUUAACUCCGAAACUGCAUUCGAUACUGCGGUGCUUGAGGACUGGAGAGGAGACUGGAAUUCAUGGUGUAGCAGUGAAAUGCGUAGAGAUCAUGAGGAAGACCAGUGGCGAAGGCGGAUCUCUGGACAGCUACUGACACUGAGGCACGAAGGCCAGGGGAGCAAACGGG
rnacentral:rRNA from 1 species